GGGUGUGGCGCAGCUUGGUAGCGCGCUUCGUUCACACCGAAGAGGUCACUGGUUCGAUCCCAGUAUCGCCCA
rnacentral:tRNA from 1 species